rnacentral:rRNA from 1 species
GACGAACGCUGGCGGCGUGCUUAACACAUGCAAGUCGAACGGAAAGGCCCUGCUUUUGUGGGGUGCUCGAGUGGCGAACGGGUGUGUAACACGUGAGUAACCUGCCCUUGACUUUGGGAUAACUUCAGGAAACUGGGGCUAAUACCGGAUAGGAGCUCCUGCUGCAUGGUGGGGGUUGGAAAGUUUCGGCGGUUGGGGAUGGACUCGCGGCUUAUCAGCUUGUUGGUGGGGUAGUGGCUUACCAAGGCUUUGACGGGUAGCCGGCCUGAGAGGGUGACCGGCGACAUUGGGACUGAGAUACGGCCCAGACUCCUACGGGAGGCAGCAGUGGGGAAUAUUGCACAAUGGGCGGAAGCCUGAUGCAGCAACGCCGCGUGCGGGAUGACGGCCUUCGGGUUGUAAACCGCUUUCGCCUGUGACGAAGCGUGAGUGACGGUAAUGGGUAAAGAAGCACCGGCUAACUACGUG